GCGAUACAGGGUGACAGCCCCGUACACAAAAAUGCACAUAUUGUGAGCUCGAUGAGUAGGGCGGGACACGUGGUAUCCUGUCUGAAUAUGGGGGGACCAUCCUCCAAGGCUAAAUACUCCUGACUGACCGAUAGUGAACCAGUACCGUGAGGGAAAGGCGAAAAGAACCCCGGCGAGGGGAGUGAAAAAGAACCUGAAACCGUGUACGUACAAGCAGUGGGAGCCUCUUAAUGGGGUGACUGCGUACCUUUUGUAUAAUGGGUCAGCGACUUAUAUUCUGUAGCAAGGUUAACCGAAUAGGGGAGCCGAAGGGAAACCGAGUCUUAACUGGGCGUUAAGUUGCAGGGUAUAGACCCGAAACCCGGUGAUCUAGCCAUGGGCAGGUUGAAGGUUGGGUAACACUAACUGGAGGACCGAACCGACUAAUGUUGAAAAAUUAGCGGAUGACUUGUGGCUGGGGGUGAAAGGCCAAUCAAACCGGGAGAUAGCUGGUUCUCCCCGAAAGCUAUUUAGGUAGCGCCUCGUGAAUUCAUCUCCGGGGGUAGAGCACUGUUUCGGCAAGGGGGUCAUCCCGACUUACCAACCCGAUGCAAACUGCGAAUACCGGAGAAUGUUAUCACGGGAGACACACGGCGGGUGCUAACGUCCGUCGUGAAGAGGGAAACAACCCAGACCGCCAGCUAAGGUCCCAAAGUCAUGGUUAAGUGGGAAACGAUGUGGGAAGGCCCAGACAGCCAGGAUGUUGGCUUAGAAGCAGCCAUCAUUUAAAGAAAGCGUAAUAGCUCACUGGUCGAGUCGGCCUGCGCGGAAGAUGUAACGGGGCUAAACCAUGCACCGAAGCUGCGGCAGCGACACUAUGUGUUGUUGGGUAGGGGAGCGUUCUGUAAGCCUGUGAAGGUGGCCUGUGAGGGUUGCUGGAGGUAUCAGAAGUGCGAAUGCUGACAUAAGUAACGAUAAAGCGGGUGAAAAGCCCGCUCGCCGGAAGACCAAGGGUUCCUGUCCAACGUUAAUCGGGGCAGGGUGAGUCGACCCCUAAGGCGAGGCCGAAAGGCGUAGUCGAUGGGAAACAGGUUAAUAUUCCUGUACUUGGUGUUACUGCGAAGGGGGGACGGAGAAGGCUAUGUUGGCCGGGCGACGGUUGUCCCGGUUUAAGCGUGUAGGCUGGUUUUCCAGGCAAAUCCGGAAAACC
rnacentral:rRNA from 1 species